UACGAAGGGUGCAAGCGUUACUCGGAAUUACUGGGCGUAAAGCGUGCGCAGGCGGUUUUGUAAGCCAGAUGUGAAAUCCCCGGGCUUAACCUGGGAAUGGCAUUUGGGACUGCAAGGCUUGAGUGCGGCAGAGGAGACUGGAAUUCCCGGUGUAGCAGUGAAAUGCGUAGAUAUCGGGAGGAAUACCGAUGGCGAAGGCAGGUCUCUGGGCUGACACUGACGCUCAUGCACGAAAGCGUGGGGAGCAAACAGG
rnacentral:rRNA from 1 species